GAUGAACGCUGGCGGCGUGCCUAAUACAUGCAAGUCGAGCGAACAGACGAGGAGCUUGCUCCUCUGACGUUAGCGGCGGACGGGUGAGUAACACGUGGAUAACCUACCUAUAAGACUGGGAUAACUUCGGGAAACCGGAGCUAAUACCGGAUAAUAUAUUGAACCGCAUUGUUCAAUAGUGAAAGACGGUUUUGCUGUCACUUAUAGAUGGAUCCGCGCCGCAUUAACUUGUUGGUAAGGUAACGGCUUACCAAGGCAACGAUGCGUAGCCGACCUGAGAGGGUGGUCGGACACCUUGGAACUGAGAAACGGUACAGACUCCGACGGGAGGCAGCGGUAGGGAAUCUUCCGCAAUGGGGGAAAGCCUAACGGAGCAACGCCGCGUGAGGGAUGAAGGUCUUCGGAUCGGAAAACGCUGUUAUUAGGAAAGAACAAAUGUGUAAGUAACUAUGCACGUCUUGACGGUACCGAAUCAGAAAGCCACGGCUAACUACGUG
rnacentral:rRNA from 1 species